AUAAGUUACAAAGGGCGUACAGUGGAUGCCUAGGCACCGAAAGACGAAGAAGGACGCGACUACCUGCGAAAAGCUGCGGCGAGUUGGACGUAAACUUUGACCCGCAGAUGUCCGAAUGGGGAAACCCGAUAUGCUAACUACAUAUCAUACGAGCGGUGAAUACAUAGCCGCCGUAAGGCAACCCAGGGAAUUGAAACAUCUUAGUACCUGGAGGAAAAGAAAGAGAAUCGAUUCCGUCAGUAGCGGCGAGCGAAAGCGGAAGAGCCCAAACCAAGAAAUUGGGGUUCGGGGUUACAAAGAAUCAUGACGAAGAAGAAGAAGUGUUUGGAAUGGCACAUCUAAGAGGGUGAAAAUCCCGUAUUCGUAAGAGAGUCAUGGUCGUAACUACCAGAGUAGGGCGGGGCACGUGAAACCCUGUCUGAAUGAGCGGAGACCACUCCGUAAGGCUAAAUACUCUUCGGUGACCGAUAGUGAACCAGUACCGUGAGGGAAAGGUGAAAAGAACCCCGGGAGGGGAGUGAAAAGAAUCUGAAACUGUAUGCUUACAAGAUGUCAGAGACCGUUAAAGGUUGAUGACGUGCCUAUUGAAGAAUGAGCCGGCGAGUUAUGUAUACAUGCGAGGUUAAGGAGAAGAUCCGGAGCCGUAGCGAAAGCGAGUCUGAAUAGGGCGUUCAGUAUGUGUAUGUAGACCCGAAACCCGACGAUCUAGCCAUGAUCAAGAUGAAGUAAGGGUCAAACCUUAUGGAGGUCUGAACCGACGUUCGUUGAAACGACCGCGGAUGAAUUGUGGCUCGUGGUGAAAUUCCAAUCGAGUCGGGUAAUAGCUGGUUCUCCUCGAAAUAGCUUUAGGGCUAGCCUCAGAACACUACAUUUUGGAGGUAGAGCACUGAAUGAAAGCGAGCCGCGCCAAGCGGUAUCAAUUUCAAUCAAACUCCGAAUUCCGAGAUGCUUAUUCUGGGAGUCAGACUGUGGGAGAUAAGUUUCAUGGUCAAAAGGGCAACAGCCCGGACCGCCAACUAAGGUCCCUAAAUUCGCGCUAAGUGUUAAAGGAUGUAGAGAUACUUAAACAGCUAGGAUGUUGGCUCAGAGGCAGCCAUCAUUUAAAGAAUGCGUAACAGCUCACUAGUCAAGUGUCUCCGCGCCGAAAAUUUACCGGGGCUAAGCGCGAUACCGAAGUUGCGGAUAUUUCUAAAGAAAUGUGGUAGGGGAGCGUUCCAUUAGCAUAGAAGCCAUACCGGAAGGAGUGGUGGAGCGAAUGGAAGUGAGAAUGCCGGCGUAAGUAACGAUAAGAGGUGAGAAUCCUCUUCACCAUUUGACUAAGGUUUCCUGGGCUAGGUUCGUCCACCCAGGGUCAGUCGGGACCUAAGACGAGGCCGAAAGGCGUAGCCGAUGGACAGCAGGUUAAUAUUCCUGAACCCGGUUGUGUGCGAUCGCAGUGACGAAAGCGGUUAGGUUUACCCACGAAUGGAAGUGUGGGGAGAUAGUGAUAAGCUGUCGGCUAGAAUCCGACACCAAGUGAAACACCGAAGUACGAAAGGGGUGACCUGAGUAGGAAGUAGCUGAUACCGAUUUCCAAGAAAAGCUGCUAGCUUAAGCACAAUCGGCCCGUACCGAGAACGGACACACGUGGUCAAGGAGAGUAUCCUAAGGUGAGCGAGAUAACUGUUGUUAAGGAACUCUGCAAAAUUACUUCGUAAGUUAGCGAGAAGAAGUGCUCCAGCGAUGGAGCCGCAGCGAAUAGGCCCAAGUAACUGUUUACCAAAAACACAGCUCUAUGCUAAGUCGUAAGACGAUGUAUAUGGGGUGAAGCCUGCCCGGUGCCGGAAGGUUAAUAGGAGAGGUGAAAGCUUUGAAUUGAAGCCCCGGUGAACGGCGGCCGUAACUAUAACGGUCCUAAGGUAGCGAAAUUCCUUGUCAGGUAAGUUCUGACGUGCACGAAUGGUUUAAUAAUUUGGGCGCUGUCUCGACAGCAGACUCGGUGAAAUCUUAAUACCGGUGAAGAUGCCGGUUACCCGCGACUAGACGGAAAGACCCCAUGGAGCUUUACUACAACUUAAUAUUGAGUAAUUGCAAAUCAUGUAGAGGAUAGGUGGGAGGCUAUGAAGUAAUGGCGCUAGCUAUUAUGGAGCCGCCCUUGGAAUACCACCCUUGAUUUACAGUUAUUCUAACUUCCUCCCUGGAUGGGAGGGAAGACAGUGUUAGGCGGGUAGUUUGGCUGGGGCGGCCGCCUCCCA
rnacentral:rRNA from 1 species